rnacentral:rRNA from 1 species
GGUACAGCUAAAGUUUGAUCUGGCUCAUGAAGUCCUACUUGGUGGCCGGAUUAGUGUGAUACUGGUGAAUGAACGUGAGUAACCUGCCCUUGACUCUGGGAUAAGCGUUGGAAACGACGUCUAAUACCGGAUACGAGCUUCCACCGCAUGGUGAGUUGCUGGAAAGAAUUUUGGUCAAGGAUGGACUCGCGGCCUAUCAGCUUGUUGGUGAGGUAAUGGCUCACCAAGGCGACGACGGGUAGCCGGCCUGAGAGGGUGACCGGCCACACUGGGACUGAGACACGGCCCAGACUCCUACGGGAGGCAGCAGUGGGGAAUAUUGCACAAUGGGCGAAAGCCUGAUGCAGCAACGCCGCGUGAGGGACGACGGCCUUCGGGUUGUAAACCUCUUUUAGCAGGGAAGAAGCGAAAGUGACGGUACCUGCAGAAAAAGCACCGGCUAACUACGUGCCAGCAGCCGCGGUAAUACGUAGGGUGCAAGCGUUGUCCGGAAUUAUUGGGCGUAAAGAGCUCGUAGGCGGUUUGUCGCGUCUGCUGUGAAAUCCCGAGGCUCAACCUCGGGUCUGCAGUGGGUACGGGCAGACUAGAGUGCGGUAGGGGAGAUUGGAAUUCCUGGUGUAGCGGUGGAAUGCGCAGAUAUCAGGAGGAACACCGAUGGCGAAGGCAGAUCUCUGGGCCGCUACUGACGCUGAGGAGCGAAAGGGUGGGGAGCAAACAGGCUUAGAUACCCUGGUAGUCCACCCCGUAAACGUUGGGCGCUAGAUGUGGGGACCAUUCCACGGUUUCCGUGUCGUAGCUAACGCAUUAAGCGCCCCGCCUGGGGAGUACGGCCGCAAGGCUAAAACUCAAAGGAAUUGACGGGGGCCCGCACAAGCGGCGGAGCAUGCGGAUUAAUUCGAUGCAACGCGAAGAACCUUACCAAGGCUUGACAUAUACGAGAACGGGCCAGAAAUGGUCAACUCUUUGGACACUCGUAAACAGGUGGUGCAUGGUUGUCGUCAGCUCGUGUCGUGAGAUGUUGGGUUAAGUCCCGCAACGAGCGCAACCCUCGUUCUAUGUUGCCAGCACGUAAUGGUGGGAACUCAUGGGAUACUGCCGGGGUCAACUCGGAGGAAGGUGGGGACGACGUCAAAUCAUCAUGCCCCUUAUGUCUUGGGCUUCACGCAUGCUACAAUGGCCAGUACAAAGGGCUGCAAUACCGUAAGGUGGAGCGAAUCCCAAAAAGCUGGUCCCAGUUCGGAUUGAGGUCUGCAACUCGACCUCAUGAAGUCGGAGUCGCUAGUAAUCGCAGAUCAGCAACGCUGCGGUGAAUACGUUCCCGGGCCUUGUACACACCGCCCGUCAAGUCAUCAAAGUCGGCACUCCAGUUUGCUCAGUGGCUCUAACAAGUCAUGACAAGU